AGAACGGGUCACGUGAGCGCCUCGCCUGGAUGUGAGUUUCAGCCAGACCUGUGGAUAUCUGGGCUUUGGGCUGUAUGAUCAUUGAGAUGGCCACUGGAAAUCCCUAUCUUCCUAGUAGUUCUGAUUUGGAUUUACUCCAUAAAAUUGUUUUGAAAGUGGGCAAUUUGUCACCUCACUUGCAGAAUAUCUUUUCCAAGAGCCCCAUUUUUGCUGGGGUAGUUCUUCCUCAAGUUCAACACCCCAAAAAUGCAAGAAAAAAAUAUCCAAAGCUUAAUGGAUUGUUGGCAGAUAUAGUUCAUAUUCAUGCCAGAACUGAAAGCUAAAUUACUGCAGGAAGCAAAAGUCAAUUCAUUAAUAAAGCCAAAAGAGAGUUCUAAAGAAAAUGAACUCAGGAAAGAUGAAAGAAAAACAGUUUAUACCAAUACACUGCUAAGUAGUUCAGUUUUGGGAAAGGAAAUAGAAAAAGAGAAAAAGCCCAAGGAGAUCAAAGUCAGAGUUAUUAAAGUCAAAGGAGGAAGAGGAGAUAUCUCAGAACCAAAAAAGAAAGAGUAUGAAGGUGGACUUGGUCAACAGGAUGCAAAUGAAAAUGUUCAUCCUAUGUCUCCAGAUACAAAACUUGUAACCAUUGAACCACCAAACCCUAUCAAUCCCAGCACUAACUGUAAUGGCUUGAAAGAAAAUCCACAUUGCGGAGGUUCUGUGACAAUGCCACCCAUCAAUCUAACUAACAGUAAUUUGAUGGCUGCAAAUCUCAGUUCAAAUCUCUUUCACCCCAGUGUGAGGUUAACUGAAAGAGCAAAAAAGAGACGCACUUCUUCACAAUCUAUUGGACAAGUUAUGCCUAAUAGCAGGCAAGAGGAUCCAGGUCCUAUUCAAAGCCAAAUGGAGAAGGGUAUAUUUAAUGAGCGAACAGGUCACAGUGACCAAAUGGCAAAUGAGAACAAAAGGAAGCUGAAUUUUUCCAGAUCUGACAGGAAAGAAUUCCAUUUUCCAGAAUUGCCUGUCACAAUACAGUCAAAAGAUACAAAAGGAAUGGAAGUUAAACAGAUAAAAAUGCUGAAGAGGGAGUCAAAGAAAACAGAGUCAUCUAAGAUACCAACUUUACUUAACGUGGAUCAAAAUCAAGAAAAACAAGAGGUACGUCUUUAUCAGCGGCAUGAAGACAGACCAAUACAGUGAAUUGGUACCAGUAGAGUGGGGCAUUGCUGAAAAGAUACCCAAAAAUGUGGAAGCAACUUUGGAACUGGGUAACAGGCAGAGGUUUGAACAGUUUGGAGAGCUCAGAAGAAGACAGGAAAAUGUGGGAAAGUUUGGAACUUUCUAGAGACUUGUUGAAUGGCUUUGACCAGAAGCUUGAUCAUGAUAUGGACAAUAAAAUCCAAGCUGAGGUGGUCUCAGAUAGAGAUGAGGAACUUGUUGGGAACUGGAGCAAAGGUGACUCUUGUUAUGUUUUAGCAAAGAGAUUGGCAGCAUUUUGCCCCUGCACUAGAGAUUGUGGAACUUUGAACUUGAGAGAGGUGAUUUAGGGUAACUGGUGGAAGAAAUUUCUUUUUGUUGUUGUUGUUUUUUUUCUUUUUUGAGACAGUCUCACUCUAUAACCAGUCUGGAGUGCAGUGGCAUGAUCUUGGCUCACUGCAACCUGUGCCUACUGGGUUCAAGUGAUUCUCCUGCCUCAGCCUCCUGAGUAACUGGGACUAUAGGCAUGUGCCACCACACCCACCUAAUUUUUGUAUUUUUAGUGGAGACGGGGUUUCACCAUGUUGGCCAGGAUGGUCUCAAUCUCUUGACCUCGUGAUCCACAUGCCUUGGCCUCCCAAAGUGCUGGGAUUACAGGCAUGAGCCACUGCACCCAACUGGUGGAAGAAAUUUCUAAGCAGCAAAGCAUUCAAGAGGUGACUUGGAUGCUAUUAAAGGCAUUCAGUUUUAUAAGGGAAGCAAAGCAUAAAAGUUCAGAAAAUUUGCAGCCUGACAAUGCAAUAGAUAAUAAAAUCCCAUUUUCUGAGGAGAAAUUCAAGCCAGCUGCAGAAAUUUGCAAAAGCAAUGAGGAGCUGACUGUUAAUCCCCAAGACAAUGGGGAAAAUGUCUCCAGGACAUGUCAGAGACGUUUGCGGCAGCCCCUCCCAUUACAGACCCAGAGGCCUAGGAGGAAAGGCCCAGGGUCCCCAUGCUGUGUGCAGCCAAGGGACUUGGUGCCCUGUGUCCCAGCUGCUCCAGCCAUGGCUGAAGGGGGCCAAUGUAGAGCUUGGCCUGUGGCUUCAGAGGAGCAAGCCCCAAGCCUUGGCAGCUUCCCUGUAGUGUUGAGCCUGUGAGUGCACAGAAGUCAAGAAUUGGGGUUUGGGAACCUCCGCCAAGAUUUCAGAAGAUGUAUGGAAAUGCCUGGAUGUCCAGGAAGAAGUUUGCUGCAGGGGUGGGGCCCUCAUGGAGAACAUCUGCUGGGGUAGUGCAAAAGGGAAAUGUGGGGUUGGAGCCCCCACACAGAGUCCCUACUGGGGCACCACCUAGUGGAGCUGUGAGAAGAGGGCCACUGUCCUCCAGACCCCAGAAUGGUAGACUCACUUGUUACGGGAAGUCAGGGGCCCCGAACGGAGGGACCGGCUGAAGCCAUGGCAGAAGAACAUAAAUUGUGAAGAUUUCAUGGACAUUUAUCACUUCCCCAAUCAAUACUCUUAUAAUUUCCUAUGCCUGUCUUUAAUCUCUUAAUCCCAUCAUCUUCGUAAGCUGAGGAUGUAUGUCGCCUCGGGACUUUGUGAUGAUUGCGUUAACUGCACAAAUUGUUUGUAAAACGUGUGUUUGAACAAUAUGAAAUCUGGGCAUCCUAAAAAAGAAUAGGAUAACAGUGGUUUUCAGGGAACAAGGGAGAUAACCAUAAGGUCUGACUGCCUGUGGGGCCAGGCAGAACAGAGUCAUAUUUCUCUUCUUGCAGAAAGCGAAUAGGAGAAAUAUUGCUUAAUUCUUUUCCCAGCAAGGAAUAACCCUGGGAAAGGAAUGCCUUCCCAGGGGGAGGUCUCUAAAAUGGCUGCUCUGGGAGUAUCUGUCUUGUGCAGUUGAAGAUAAGGGAUGAAAUACGCCCUGGUCUCCUGCAGUGCCCUCAGGCUUGCUAGGAUUAGGAAAUUCCAGCCUGGCGAAUUCUAGUCAGACCGGUUGUCUGCUCUUGAACCCUCUUUCCUGUUAAGAUGUUUAUCAAUGACACUGUGUGCCCAGCAGGACAUGGAACCUCAUCAGUAAUUCUAAUUUCACCUGGCCUUGUAAUCUUGCUCUGCCUCUCUGCCCUUGUGAUCUUUUAUUGCCCUUUCAAGCAUGUGAUCUUUGUGACUUACUCCCUGUUCGUAUCCCCCUCCCCUUUUGAAAUUCCUAAUAAAAGCUUGCUGGUUUUGCAGCUCAGGGGGCAUCACGGAGCCUACCAAUAGGUGAUGUCACCCCCGGAGGCCCAGCUGUAAAAUUUCUCUCUUUUGUACUCUUUCUCUAUUUCUCAGACAGACCAACACUUAGGGAAAAUAGAAAAGAACCUACGUUGAAAUAUUGGGGGCUGGUUCCCCCACUAUUCACUGACUGCUUGCACUGUGUGCCUGGAAAAGCUGCAGACACUCAAUGCCAGCCCAUGAAAGCAGCCAGGAGGGAGGCUGUACCCUGCAAAGCCAUAGAGGUGGAGCUUCCCAUGACCAUGGGAACCCACCUCUUGCAUUAGUGUGACCUGGAUGUGAGACAUGAAGUCAAAGGAGAUCAUUUUGGAGCUUUAAUAAUUGACUGCUCCACUGGAUUUUGGAUUUGCAUGGGACCUGUAGCCCCUUUGUUUUCGCCAAUGUCUCCCAUUCAGAAUGGCUGUAUUUAUCCAAUGCCUGUACCUCCAUUGUAUCUAGGAAGUAAAUAACUUGCUUUUGAUUUUAUAGGCUCAUAGAUGGAAGGGACUUGCCUUAUCUCAGAUAAGGCAAGUGGACUUUUGAGUAGACUUUUGAGUUAAUGCUGAAAUGAGUUAAGACUUUGGGGGACUGUUGGGAGGGCAUGAUUUAUUCUGAAAUGUGAGGAUAUGAGAUUUGGGAGGGGCCAGGGGUGGAAUGAUAUGGUUUGGCUGUGUACCCACACAAAUCUCAUCUUGAAUUCCCAUGUGUUGUGGGAAGGACUUGGUGGGAGGUAAUUGAAUCUUGGAGGCAGGUUUUUUCCAUGCUGUUCUUGUGAUAAUAAGUCUCAUGAGAUCUGAUGGUUAUUACAAGGGGGCGUUAUCCUGCACAAGCUCUCUCUUUGCAUGCUGCCAUCCACGUAAGAUGUGACUUGCUGCUCCUUGCCUUCCACCAUGAUUGUGAAGCCUCCCCAGCCAUGUGCAACUGUAAGUCCAAUAAACCUCUUUCUUUUGUAAAUUGUCCAGUCUCAGGUAUGUCUUUAUCAGCAGCGAGAAAACAGACUAAAACACUUACCAUAUCUAAACUGUAUUAAUUUCUCCCCAAACCAUCUUUCUCUCUUAGCUUUUCUUGUUUUUAAAAGUAGUACUAUUGUUUUCCUUGGCUUGAA
rnacentral:lncRNA from 1 species